UCAGCAGCCGCGGUAAUACGUAGGUGGCGAGCGUUGUCCGGAAUUAUUGGGCGUAAAGAGUGCGUAGGCGGUCUGUUAAGUUCCAUUUGAAAGCCCAUGGCUUAACCAUGGAGGGUGAUGGGAAACUGGCAGACUUGAGUACAGGAGAGGAAGGUGGAAUUCCACGUGUAGCGGUGAAAUGCGUAGAUAUGUGGAGGAACACCAGUGGCGAAGGCGGCCUUCUGGCCUGUGUCUGACGCUGAGGCACGAAAGCGUGGGUAGCAAACAGGAUUAGAUACCCUGGUAGUCCACGCCGUAAACGAUGAGUACUAAGUGUUGGGGGAAACCUCGGUGCUGAAGUUAACGCAUUAAGUACUCCGCCUGGGAAGUACGGUCGCAAGACUGAAACUCAAAGGAAUUGACGGGGGCCCGCACAAGC
rnacentral:rRNA from 1 species